GGCAGAGGUGGCUGAACGGUUAAGGCUAUGGAUUACUGAUUGGAAGGUUAGGGGUUCAAGCCCCAGCACUGUCA